rnacentral:lncRNA from 1 species
UUAUCUUUUGAAAUAGAUUAUAUUAUUUUAAACUCAAAUUUAAAAAUAUUAUGAAACUUUGGAGAAUUAUUCUUAUUAUCAUGAACAAGAAGAUCAAAGAACAUACUCAAUUGAAUUUGCUUAAAAAAAGUUGAAUCAAUAGCUAAUGUUGAUUUUAUUACUUGAAAUUAAAAAUGCUUUGUAUUCAAGAGAAUUAUUCUUUAUUGAUCAAAAGAUGCAUCUCCUUCUUGGAAUGCAAGAUAAGAAUUUGAAGAAAA